rnacentral:rRNA from 1 species
AUUGAACGCUGGCGGCAUGCCUAACACAUGCAAGUCGAACGGAGGUAGGGGCAACUCUACUUCAGUGGCGGACGGGUGAGGAAUGCGUCGGAAUCUACCCUAUGGUGGGGGAUAACACAGGGAAACUUGUGCUAAUACCGCAUAAUGUCGAGAGACCAAAGCAGGGGACCGCAAGGCCUUGCGCGAUAGGAUGAGCCGACGCCCGAUUAGCUAGUUGGUAGGGUAAAGGCCUACCAAGGCGACGAUCGGUAGUUGGUCUGAGAGGAUGAUCAGCCACACUGGGACUGAGACACGGCCCAGACUCCUACGGGAGGCAGCAGUGGGGAAUAUUGGACAAUGGGCGCAAGCCUGAUCCAGCAAUGCCGCGUGUGUGAAGAAGGCCUGCGGGUUGUAAAGCACUUUUGUUCGGGAAGAAAUCAUGCUGGUUAAUACCUGGUAUGGAUGACGGUA